rnacentral:rRNA from 1 species
GACGAACGCUGGCGGCGUGCUUAACACAUGCAAGUCGAACGAUGAAGCCUAGCUUGCUGGGUGGAUUAGUGGCGAACGGGUGAGUAACACGUGAGUAACCUGCCCCUUACUCUGGGAUAAGCGCUGGAAACGGCGUCUAAUACUGGAUAUUACCUAUCAUCGCAUGGGGUUUGGUGGAAAGAUUUUUCGGUUUGGGAUGGACUCGCGGCCUAUCAGCUUGAUGGUGAGGUAGUGGCUCACCAUGGCGACGACGGGUAGCCGGCCUGAGAGGGUGACCGGCCACACUGGGACUGAGACACGGCCCAGACUCCUACGGGAGGCAGCAGUGGGGAAUAUUGCACAAUGGGCGCAAGCCUGAUGCAGCAACGCCGCGUGAGGGAUGACGGCCUUCGGGUUGUAAACCUCUUUUAGUAGGGAAGAAGCGUAAGUGACGGUACCUACAGAAAAAGCACCGGCUAACUACGUG